GCUUAAUUGUAUACAAUUGCUAAUGCUAUACACUGUCCUCAGUAUUUCUCUGUGUGCUCAACAAGUAAAUAUCAGGAGCUCUUGUCAAAAUCUAUUUCCUUAUUUUACAUUGGGUGUUUUGUGGUGUCCUACAAAAGUGGUUAUGCAGCCUCGGCUGACCUUCAAUUAUCCCAUAAAAUGAAAGUGACAUUGUGUCAGCCAUUUAGCUCCGAAUGUAUGCUUACCAGCUUGUGUCAUUUGACUGCCGUGUUCUUAAUUCCUGUUUCCCAUUACUAGC